GACGAACGCUGGCGGCGUGCUUAACACAUGCAAGUCGAACGGAAAGGCCCUGCUUUUGUGGGGUGCUCGAGUGGCGAACGGGUGAGUAACACGUGAGUAACCUGCCCUUGACUUUGGGAUAACUUCAGGAAACUGGGGCUAAUACCGGAUAGGAGCUCCUGCUGCAUGGUGGGGGUUGGAAAGUUUCGGCGGUUGGGGAUGGACUCGCGGCUUAUCAGCUUGUUGGUGGGGUAGUGGCUUACCAAGGCUUUGACGGGUAGCCGGCCUGAGAGGGUGACCGGCCACAUUGGGACUGAGAUACGGCCCAGACUCCUAAGGGAGGCAGCAGUGGGGAAUAUUGCACAAUGGGCGGAAGCCUGAUGCAGCAACGCCGCGUGCGGGAUGACGGCCUUCGGGGUGUAAACCGCUUUCGCCUGUGACGAAGCGUGAGUGACGGUAAUGGGUAAAGAAGCACCGGCUAACUACGUG
rnacentral:rRNA from 1 species